UACGUAGGGAGCAAGCGUUGUCCGGAAUCAUUGGGCGUAAAGAGCGUGUAGGCGGCUCGAUAAGUCUGCUGUGAAAGUCCAGGGCUCAACCCUGGAAGGCCGGUGGAAACUGUCGGGCUAGAAUCCGGAAGAGGCGAGUGGAAUUCCCGGUGUAGCGGUGAAAUGCGCAGAUAUCGGGAGGAACACCAAUGGCGAAGGCAGCUCGCUGGGACGGUAUUGACGCUGAGACGCGAAAGCGUGGGGAGCAAACAGG
rnacentral:rRNA from 1 species